rnacentral:rRNA from 1 species
CAUCUUAGUACCUGCAGGAAAAGAAAAUAACUUAAUGAUUCCCCCAGUAGUGGCGAGCGAACGGGGAACAGCCCAAACCCACGACGUAGCAAUGCGCCGUGGGGGUUGUAGGACCACGUUGUCGUACCUG